AGUACUUGUCAUCACAAGGACCAGAUUUCAAGUACCAGAGUAGUCCUAACUCCUAAAUUUUCCCAAUUUGUCAAAAGUACAUCUAGUGACACAAGAGAAGAAUGUGGAGUAAAUGCCAAUAAAGGCUGGACUGCAGGGGUAUACCUGACUUCUCGGCAAUUUCUGGUUAUCACCAUCCGAAUGACCGAUUCAGAGGAGAAGACCAACUUCAAGGUGACUCUUAUGCAUUGAGAUCUUUCGCUGAU